rnacentral:rRNA from 1 species
GAUGAACGCUGGCGGCGUGCUUAACACAUGCAAGUCGAACGAGAAAUGGAGACGGAAACCUUCGGGCGGAAGGCUUCAUUUCGAGUGGCGGACGGGUGAGUAACGCGUGGGUAACCUGCCUCCUACAGGGGGCUAACAGUUGGACACGACUGUUAAUACCGCAUAAGACCACAGCACCGCAUGGUGCGGGGGUAAAAACUCCGGUGGUAUGAGAUGGACCCGCGUUCGAUUAGCCAGUUGGCGGGGUAACGGCCCACCAACGCGACGAUCGAUAGCCGAUCUGAGAGGAUGACCGGCCACAGUGGGACUGAGACACGGCCCAAACUCCUACGGGAGGCAGCAGUGGGGAAUAUUGCACAAUGGGGGAAACCCUGAUGCAGCGACGCCGCGUGAGUGAAGAAGUACUUCGGUAUGUAAAGCUCUAUCAGCAGGGAAGAAAAUGACGGUACCUGAGUAAGAAGCCCCGGCUAACUACGUG